UACGUAGGGUGCGAGCGUUGUCCGGAAUUAUUGGGCGUAAAGAGCUCGUAGGCGGUGUGUCGCGUCGGCCGUGAAAACCUGGGGCUCAACUCUGGGCGUGCGGUCGAUACGGGCAUCACUUGAGUUCGGCAGGGGAGACUGGAAUUCCUGGUGUAGCGGUGAAAUGCGCAGAUAUCAGGAGGAACACCGGUGGCGAAGGCGGGUCUCUGGGCCGAUACUGACGCUGAGGAGCGAAAGCGUGGGGAGCGAACAGGA
rnacentral:rRNA from 1 species